UCCCAGUAUGAAGCAAAGCUCUUGCCUGGCUUGAUCUAUCGAAUGAAGCAGCCAAAAAUCGUGCUGCUGAUUUUUGUUUCCGGCAAGAUUGUUCUGACAAGAGCUAAGGUGAGAGAUGAGACAUUGCUUUUGAAAUUAUCUAUCCAGUUCUCGUAAAGUCAUAAAAGUCCGGCAAUGCUAAGUACAUGGUAAUUGCUAAUGGACAAGAAUAAUUAGGGUAUGUUGUUCAAGUAUGUGCCCAGUUGUUGUUGUUGUCCCCCUUUUAUUGUUUUGUUUUCUGAUUUCGAUGAUACCAUUACCUAGGACGCUCACGAGACUUCUAUAAUAUACUAUCCUUCUAUGGAAUCAAUGUGUUGAUUAAUAUUCGCUACAUAUUUAUCAUUGUUUAUUUUUCUAUCAAUGACAAAGCACAUGUACAAUCUUAUAUAUCUUUUAAGAUA